rnacentral:rRNA from 1 species
AAAUGAAUUGACGGGGACCCACACAAGCGGUGGAGCAUGGGGUUUAAUUCGAUAGUAAGCGAAGAACCUUACCUAGGCUUGACAUCCCGAGAACCCGCCAGAAACGGUGGGGUGCCGCAAGGAACUCGGAGACAGGCGCUGCACGGUUGUCGUCAGCUCGUGCCUUGAGGUGUACUGUUAAGUCAGCGAACGAGCGCAACCCUCAUCCUAUGUUGAUUUUUCAUGGGAGACUGCCGCCUCCAAGGCGGAGGAAGGUGGGGACGACGUCAAAUCAGCGUGGCCCUUAUGCCUAGGGCGACACCCGUGCUACAAUGGCCGAUACAGAGGGCAGCGAAGCCGUAAGGCGGAGCUAAUCCCACAAAGUCGGUCUCAGUCCGGAUUGUAGUCUGCAACUCGACUGCAUGAAGUUGGAAUCGCUAGUAACCGUGAAUCAGCCACGUCACGGUGAAUAUGUUCCUGGGUCUUGUACACACCGCCCGU